GGCUUGUAGCUCAGGUGGUUAGAGCGCACCCCUGAUAAGGGAGAGGUCGGUGGUUCAAGUCCACUCAGGCC
rnacentral:tRNA from 1 species